rnacentral:rRNA from 1 species
AUUGAACGCUGGCGGCAUGCUUUACACAUGCAAGUCGAACGGUAACAGGCCGCAAGGUGCUGUCGAGUGGCGAACGGGUGAGUAAUGCAUCGGAACGUGCCCAGUCGUGGGGGGUAACUACUCGAAAGAGUAGCUAAUACCGCAUACGAUCUAUGGAUGAAAGCGGGGGACCGUAAGGCCUCGCGCGAUUGGAGCAGCCGAUGUCAGAUUAGGUAGUUGGUGGGGUAAAGGCUCACCAAGCCAACGAUCUGUAGCUGGUCUGAGAGGACGACCAGCCACACUGGAACUGAGACACGGCCCAGACUCCUACGGGAGGCAGCAGUGGGGAAUUUUGGACAAUGGGCGCAAGCCUGAUCCAGCAAUGCCGCGUGCAGGAAGAAGGCCUUCGGGUUGUAAACUGCUUUUGUACGGAACGAAACGGCUCUGGUUAAUACCCGGGGCUAAUGACGGUACCGUAAGAAUAAGCACCGGCUAACUACGUG